GAUGAACGCUGGCAGCGUGCCUAAUACAUGCAAGUCGAGCGAACAGACGAGGAGCUUGCUCCUCUGACGUUAGCGGCGGACGGGUGAGUAACACGUGGAUAACCUACCUAUAAGACUGGGAUAACUUCGGGAAACCGGAGCUAAUACCGGAUAAUAUAUUGAACCGCAUGGUUCAAUAGUGAAAGACGGUUUUGCUGUCACUUAUAGAUGGAUCCGCGCCGCAUUAGCUAGUUGGUAAGGUAACGGCUUACCAAGGCAACGAUGCGUAGCCGACCUGAGAGGGUGAUCGGCCACACUGGAACUGAGACACGGUCCAGACUCCUACGGGAGGCAGCAGUAGGGAAUCUUCCGCAAUGGGCGAAAGCUUGACGGAGCAACGCCGCGUGAGUGAUGAAGGUCUUCGGAUCGUAAAACUCUGUUAUUAGGGAAGAACAAAUGUGUAAGUAACUAUGCACGUCUUGACGGUACCUAAUCAGAAAGCCACGGCUAACUACGUG
rnacentral:rRNA from 1 species